CCUACGGGUGGCUGCAGUGGGGAAUAUUGGACAAUGGGCGAAAGCCUGAUCCAGCCAUGCCGCGUGUGUGAAGAAGGCCUUCGGGUUGUAAAGCACUUUCAGUGGGGAAGAAAGCCUUGGGGCUAAUACCCUCGAGGAAGGACAUCACCCACAGAAGAAGCACCGGCUAACUCCGUGCCAGCAGCCGCGGUAAUACGGAGGGUGCGAGCGUUAAUCGGAAUUACUGGGCGUAAAGCGCGCGUAGGCGGUCUGAUAAGCCGGUUGUGAAAGCCCCGGGCUCAACCUGGGAGCGGCAUCCGGAACUGUCAGGCUAGAGUGCAGGAGAGGAAGGUAGAAUUCCCGGUGUAGCGGUGAAAUGCGUAGAGAUCGGGAGGAAUACCAGUGGCGAAGGCGGCCUUCUGGACUGACACUGACGCUGAGGUGCGAAAGCGUGGGUAGCAAACAGGAUUAGAUACCCCUGUAGUC
rnacentral:rRNA from 1 species